rnacentral:rRNA from 1 species
AGCGAACGCUGGCGGCAGGCCUAACACAUGCAAGUCGAACGAACUCUUCGGAGUUAGUGGCGGACGGGUGAGUAACACGUGGGAACGUGCCUUUAGGUUCGGAAUAACUCAGGGAAACUUGUGCUAAUACCGAAUGUGCCCUUCGGGGGAAAGAUUUAUCGCCUUUAGAGCGGCCCGCGUCUGAUUAGCUAGUUGGUGGUGUAAUGGACCACCAAGGCGACGAUCAGUAGCUGGUCUGAGAGGAUGAUCAGCCACAUUGGGACUGAGACACGGCCCAGACUCCUACGGGAGGCAGCAGUGGGGAAUCUUGCGCAAUGGGCGAAAGCCUGACGCAGCCAUGCCGCGUGAAUGAUGAAGGUCUUAGGAUUGUAAAAUUCUUUCACCGGGGACGAUAAUGACGGUACCCGGAGAAGAAGCCCCGGCUAACUUCGUGCCAGCCGCCGCGGUAA